rnacentral:rRNA from 1 species
AAGGGAGCGUAGGCGGCUGAUUAAGUCAGCGGUGAAAGGUAGCAGCUUAACUGUUUUACAUGCCGUUGAUACUGGUUAGCUUGAGUUGACAGAAGGCAGAUAGAAUUCCUGAUGUAGCGGUGAAAUGCUUAGAUAUCAGGAGGAAUACCGAUUGCGAAGGCAGUCUGCUGCAGUCACACUGACGCUGAGGCUCGAAGGUGCGGGGAUCAAACAGGAUUAGAUACCCCAGU